GUGUACUAGGUGAUUGUUCCUUCCACAUCAGGGGCCUUGGGAGGAUGACCUAAGGCUGCUUUCUCCUGUCCUUACUUCCUCCACACAGUGCCGUAACUGCACAUGCAAUCAGCUGGUUGUUAUAAAGGAUGCUGACCAGUGCUGUGAUGUUGUCUUCAGGAAGCAGGGGGAUCUCCAAACAAGAGCUGGGCUGAGUUUAUGGAAUUUGGGAGGAAGAUCAUGGAAGUAAAUGAGCAUUUUCAUCACAUCGUGUCAAGGGACCCCCACUUUCCCUGGUAAACCCUGCCUCCCAAUACAACCUAUCAUUUGAAACUAUCAUUCAAGGUGACUGGACUCUUUUAACCAAGGGGGCAAGUAUGUGAUACAAGGAGUAUGGUGUAAUGGAAGACGCUGACAGGACUUCUUCCAAUCAUUUCAUCUCCAUAUCAUAUAAAAAGUAACUUUUCCUUUCCUUACUGAUUUUUUUUAACUAAGCUUUUAUGUCCACUGUGGCUCAUAAUGGUGUAUUGAUUUACAAGUGAAUGGGUUGUCUACAUA